UUGUCGUUAGCGGAAGUCGUUUGGAACGGCGCACCGUAGUGGGUGAGAGUCCCGUACGUGAAAUGUGUGUGUGGCUGUGUGCGUGGUGUCCCCGAGUAGCAGUGGGCUCGUGGAAUCUGCUGUGAAUCUGCCGGGACCGCCUGGUAAGCCUGAAUGACAUGGUGUGACCGAUAGUGGAUAGUACCGUGAGGGAAUGGUGAAAAGUACCCCGGGAGGGGAGUGAAAUAGUACCUGAAACCGUGCGCUUACAAUCCGUCAGAGCCUUCGAACACUUCGGUGUUGGGGGUGAUGGCGUGCCUUUUGAAGAAUGAGCCUGCGAGUUAGUGGCAUGUCGCGAGGUUAACCCGUGUGGGGUAGCCGUAGCGAAAGCGAGUCCGAAUAGGGCGAGUCAGUGGCAUGUUCUAGACCCGAAGCGGAGUGAUCUACCCAUGGCCAGGGUGAAGCGACGGUAAGACGUCGUGGAGGCCCGAACCCACUUAGGUUAAAAACUGAGGGGAUGAGUUGUGGGUAGGGGUGAAAGGCCAAUCAAACUCCGUGAUAGCUGGUUCUCCCCGAAAUGCAUUUAGGUGCAGCGUCGCGUGUUUCUCACCGGAGGUAGAGCUACUGGAUGGUCUAGGGGGCCCACAAGCUUACCGAAAUCAGCCAAACUCCGAAUGCCGGUGAGUGAGAGCGCGGCAGUGAGACUGCGGGGGAUAAGCUUCGUAGUCGAGAGGGAAACAGCCCAGAUCGCCGGCUAAGGCCCCUAAGCGUGUACUAAGUGGAAAAGGAUGUGGGAUCGCUGAGACAACCAGGAGGUUGGCUUAGAAGCAGCCACCCUUGAAAGAGUGCGUAAUAGCUCACUGGUCAAGUGGUCCUGCGCCGACAAUGUAGCGGGGCUCAAGUACACCGCCGAAGCCGCGGCAUUCACAUAACACCCCGGAAGGGUUACGGCUUUUCCGGCAGUGGUGUGGAUGGGUAGGGGAGCGUCGUGUGGCCGUAGAAGCGCCGGAGUGAUCCAGGUGUGGAGGCCACGCGAGUGAGAAUGCAGGCAUGAGUAGCGAAAGACGAGUGAGAAACUCGUCCGCCGGAUGACCAAGGGUUCCUGGGCCAGGUUAAUCCGCCCAGGGUGAGUCGGGACCUAAGGCGAGGCCGACAGGCGUAGUCGAUGGACAACGGGUUGAUAUUCCCGUACCCGUGUAUCCGCGCCCAAUGGCGAAUCAGUUGUGCUAACCGUCCAAAAGUCUCCGGUGUUCCUUCGGGAACUGUGGGGAUGGCUGCACGGGACCCUGAUUGUAGUAGUCAAGCGAUGGGGUGACGCAGGAAGGUAGCUGGGCCAGGUGAUGGAAUACCUGGUGUAAGCCGGUAGGGCGAAUGGUAGGCAAAUCCGCCAUUCAUCAAGCCUGAGAGGUGAUGCGUACCCGUUGAGGGGAAUUCAGUGAUCCUAUGCUGCCGAGAAAAGCCUCUAGUGAGUUGGUACACGGCCCGUACCCCAAACCGACACAGGUGGUCAGGUAGAGAAUACCAAGGCGCUUGAGAGAACUCGGGUGAAGGAACUAGGCAAAAUGGUGCCGUAACUUCGGGAGAAGGCACGCUGAUAUGUAGGUGAGGUCCCUCGCGGAUGGAGCUGAAAUCAGUCGAAGAUACCAGCUGGCUGCAACUGUUUAUUAAAAACACAGCACUGUGCAAACACGAAAGUGGACGUAUACGGUGUGACGCCUGCCCGGUGCCGGAAGGUUAAUUGAUGGGGUUAGCGCAAGCGAAGCUCUUGAUCGAAGCCCCGGUAAACGGCGGCCGUAACAAUAACGGUCCUAAGGUAGCGAAAUUCCUUGUCGGGUAAGUUCCGACCUGCACGAAUGGCGU
rnacentral:rRNA from 1 species